CUGCGAUGAUGGCAUUUCUUAGGACACCUUUGGAUUAAUCAUGAAAAGAACUACUCUCUGAGCAGC